AGCUCCAAUAGCGUAUAUUAAAGUUGUUGCAGUUAAAAAGCUCGUAGUUGGAUUUCGGGGUGGCCUGGCUGGUCCACCGCAAGGUGAGUACUGGUCAGCCGCCCUUCCUCUCGAAAGCCCCGACUGCUCUUCACUGUAGUGGUCGGGUAGUUCGGGACGUUUACUUUGAAAAAAUUAGAGUGUUCAAGGCAGGCUAUCGCCUGAAUACAUUAGCAUGGAAUAAUGGAAGAGGACCUCGGUCCUAUUUUGUUGGUUUCUAGGGCCGAAGUAAUGAUUAAGAGGGACAGUUGGGGGCAUUCGUAUUUAAUUGUCAGAGGUGAAAUUCUUGGAUUUAUGAAAGACGAACUAGUGCGAAAGCAUUUGCCAAGGAUGUUUUCA
rnacentral:rRNA from 1 species